rnacentral:rRNA from 1 species
GACGAACGCUGGCGGCGUGCCUAAUACAUGCAAGUAGAACGCUGAAGGAGGAGCUUGCUUCUCUGGAUGAGUUGCGAACGGGUGAGUAACGCGUAGGUAACCUGCCUGGUAGCGGGGGAUAACUAUUGGAAACGAUAGCUAAUACCGCAUAAGAGUAGAUGUUGCAUGACAUUUGCUUAAAAGGUGCAAUUGCAUCACUACCAGAUGGACCUGCGCUGUAUUAGCUAGUUGGUGAGGUAACGGCUCACCAAGGCAACGAUACAUAGCCGACCUGAGAGGGUGAUCGGCCACACUGGGACUGAGACACGGCCCAGACUCCUACGGGAGGCAGCAGUAGGGAAUCUUCGGCAAUGGACGGAAGUCUGACCGAGCAACGCCGCGUGAGUGAAGAAGGUUUUCGGAUCGUAAAGCUCUGUUGUAAGAGAAGAACGAGUGUGAGAGUGGAAAGU